GCAUAAAGUCAAAAACCAGAGCUUUAUCUUGGCACUCACUCUCAGCUGCAUAUCUCUUGGAUCAUCGCUUCCUUUCCUGUCUGUCAACAUGUUUACUUCAAGGAAGAAGAUCCACAAAGAUAAAGAUGUUGAGCCCACCGAGUUUGAACAGACAGUUGCGCAGGCAUUUUUUGAUUUGGAAAAUACCAACCAGGAGCUGAAAAGUGACCUGAAGGAUCUUUACAUAAAUUCUACAGUUCAAGUCGAUGUUCUUGGGAAUCAAAAGGCUGUCAUCAUUCAUGUUCCCUACAGAUUAAGGAAAGCCUUCCUCAAGAUACAUACUAAGCUUGUGAGAGAGCUUGAGAAGAAGUUUAGUGGCAAGGAUGUUGUCCUGAUUGCCACCCAGAGGAUAGUGAGGCCACCAAAGAAAGGUUCUGCUGCUCAACGUCCGCGCAACCGCACACUCACUUAUGUUCAUGAGGCAAUGCUAGAGGAUAUUGUCUUGCCUGCUAAGAUUGUUGGGAAGCGUGUCCGAUAUAGAAUUGAUGGAUCCAAGAUAAUGAAGGUUUUCUUAGAUCCCAAAGAGCGAAACAACACUGAAUACAAGCUUGAUACAUUUUUGCAGUCUACUGGAAGCUUUCUGGCAAAGAUGUUACCUUUGAGUAUCCAGUAACAGAGACUUAGAAAGACCUACUCGUAUGAACUUUUUAAUCAUUGUCAAAGAACACUGCGAACUUUCAAAAUAUUUGUUGUUGAUAAGUUGGUUUA